rnacentral:rRNA from 1 species
GUAUAAAUGUUAUACAGUGAAACUGCGAAUGGCUCAUUGAAACAGUUAUAGUUUAUUUGAUAAUCAAAUUUACAUGGAUAACCGUGGUAAUUCUAGAGCUAAUACAUGCUGUUAAGCCUGACUUUUAGGAAGGGCUGUAUUUAUUAGAUAACAAAUCAAUAUUCCUCGUGUCUAUUGUGAUGACUCAUAAUAACUGAUCGAAUCGCAUGGACUUUGUCCGCGAUACAUCAUUCAAGUUUCUGCCCCAUCAGCUUUCGAUGGUAGUGUAUUGGACUACCACGGCUUUAACGGGUAACGGAGGAUUAGGGUUCGAUUCCGGAGAGGGAGCCUGAGAAACGGCUACCACAUCUAAGGAAGGCAGCAGGCGCGUAAAUUACCCAAUCCUGACUCAGGGAGGUAGUGACAAGAAAUAACGGACCGAAGCCUAUGUUUCGGGAUUGCAAUGAGUAGAAUUUAAACCCCUUUACGAGGAUCAAUUGGAGGGCAAGUCUGGUGCCAGCAGCCGCGGUAAUUCCAGCUCCAAUAGCGUAUAUUAAAGUUGUUGCAGUUAAAAAGCUCGUAGUUGGAUUUCUGGGAGGGUGCCGAUGUCCGCUCGAUUGCGUGUGCAGAGGCGCCCUUCCAUCCUUCUGUUAACGUUUCUUGGUAUUCAGUUACUGGUUUCGGGCUCAGAUAUUUUACCUUGAGAAAAUUAGAGUGUUCAAAGCAGGCCUCAGAGCUUGUAUAGUCUUGCAUGGAAUAAUGGAAUAGGACUUCGGUUCUAUUUUGUUGGUUUUCGGACCCGGAGUAAUGAUUAAAGGAGACUGCCGGGGGCAUUUGUAUGGUGGCGUUAGAGGUGAAAUUCUUGGAUCGCCGCCAGACAAUCUACUGCGAAAGCAUUUGCCAAGAAUGUCUUCAUUAAUCAAGAACGAAAGUCAGAGGUUCGAAGACGAUCAGAUACCGUCCUAGUUCUGACCAUAAACGUUGCCGACCAACAAUCGGGGGUGGUUUGACUUUAUUGACCCUCCCGGCUGUCCCUGGGAAACCUUAAGUAAGGUUCUGGGGGGAAUAUGGUCGCAAGGCCGAAACUUAAAGGAAUUGACGGAAGGGCACCACCAGGAGUGGAGCCUGCGGCUUAAUUUGACUCAACACGGGAAAACUCACCAGGUUCGGACAUGGGAAGGAUUGACAGAUUGAGAGCUCUUUCAUGAUUCUGUGGGUGGUGGUGCAUGGCCGUUCUUAGUUGGUGGAGUGAUUUGU